UGUUCUGUGGCUUAGUUGGUUAAAGCGCCGGUCCAACGAAUACGGAGUCGUGGGUUCGAAUCCCACCAGAACGC
rfam:Aedes albopictus isolate Foshan contig153331, whole genome shotgun sequence.